UCCGGUUUAUCACCGGCAGUCUGCCUAGAGUCCCCAACUUAAUGCUGGUAACUAGGCACAAGGGUUGCGCUCGUUACGGGACUUAACCCAACAUCUCACGACACGAGCUGACGACAGCCAUGCAGCACCUGUCUCUGGAUUCCCGAAGGCACUCCCAUAUCUCUACAGGAUUCCCAGGAUGUCAAGGGUAGGUAAGGUUUUUCGCGUUGCAUCGAAUUAAACCACAUGCUCCACCGCUUGUGCGGGCCCCCGUCAAUUUCUUUGAGUUUUAGCCUUGCGGCCGUAUUCCCCAGGCGGAGUACUUAAUGCGUUUGCUCCGCUACUGAAAGGUCUUUGCCUUCCAACAGCUAGUACUCAUCGUUUACAGCGUGGACUAC
rnacentral:misc_RNA from 1 species